rnacentral:rRNA from 1 species
AUUGAACGCUGGCGGCAGGCCUAACACAUGCACGUCGAGCGGAGCGGCGGACGGGUGAGUAAUGCCUAGGAAUCUGCCUGGUAGUGGGGGAUAACGUCCGGAAACGGGCGCUAAUACCGCAUACUAUCAGAUGAGCCUAGGUCGGAUUAGCUAGUUGGUGGGGUAAAGGCCUACCAAGGCGACGAUCCGUAACUGGUUUGAGAGGAUGAUCAGUCACACGGGAACGGAGACACGGUGCAGAAUCCUACGGGAGUCAGCGGUGGGGAAUAUUGGACAAGGGGCGAAAGCGUGAACCAGCCAUGGCGCGUGUGUUAAGAAGGGCUUCGGAUUGUAAAGCACGUUAAGUUGGGAGGCGUUACCAACAGAAUAAGCACCGGCUAACUUCGUGCCAGCAGCCGCGGUAAUAC